rnacentral:rRNA from 1 species
AUGAACGCUGGCGGCGUGCCUCAUACAUGCAAGUCGAGCGAACAGACGAGGAGCUUGCUCCUCUGACGUUAGCGGCGGACGGGUGAGUAACACGUGGAUAACCUACCUAUAAGACUGGGAUAACUUCGGGAAACCGGAGCUAAUACCGGAUAAUAUAUUGAACCGCAUGGUUCAAUAGUGAAAGACGGUUUUGCUGUCACUUAUAGAUGGAUCCGCGCCGCAUUAGCUAGUUGGUAAGGUAACGGCUUACCAAGGCAACGAUGCGUAGCCGACCUGAGAGGGUGUUCGGCCACACUGGAACUGAGACACGGUCCAGACUCCUACGGGAGGCAGCAGUAGGGAAUCUUCCGCAAUGGGCGAAAGCUUGACGGAGCAACGCCGCGUGAGUGAUGAAGGUCUUCGGAUCGUAAAACUCUGUUAUUAGGGAAGAACAAAUGUGUAAGUAACUAUGCACGUCUUGACGGUACCUAAUCAGAAAGCCACGGCUAACUACGUG